UCAAAAACAUGUCCUUUUGCUUUUAUAUAAGGUCUGACCUGCCCAAUGAUUAUUAUUUAAUGGCCGCGGUAUUUUAACUGUGCUAAGGUAGCAUAAUCAUUUGUCUUUUAAUUGAAGGCUGGUAUGAAUGGUUGGACGAGGCAUAGUCUUUCUUUAAUUUAAUUUAUGAACUUAAUUUCUUAGUUAAAAAGCUAAGAUUUAUUUGUUGGACGAGAAGACCCUAUAGAUCUUUAUAUUUAAUUGUAGUUAAGUAAUUUGGUUUAUUUAUUACUUUAAUUAAUUUAAGUAUUUGGUUGGGGUGACUAUAGAAUUUCAUUAACUUCUAUUUUUAUUUUUCAUUGAUUUAUGUAUUUUUGAUCCAUUAUUAGUGAUUACAAGAUUAAGUUACCUUAGGGAUAACAGCGUAAUUUUUUUGGAGAGUUCAUAUCGAUAAAGAAGUUUGCGACCUCGAUGUUGGAUUAAAAUAAGUGGUAAGUGCAGCAGCUUAUUGACUGGGUCUGUUCGACCUUUAAUUUUUUACAUGAUCUGAGUUC
rnacentral:rRNA from 1 species